rnacentral:rRNA from 1 species
GGCGGCGUGCCUAACACAUGCAAGUCGAACGAAGCACCUUACUUGAUUCUUCGGAUGAAGGUCUGGUGACUGAGUGGCGGACGGGUGAGUAACGCGUGGGUAACCUGCCCUGUACAGGGGGAUAACAGUUGGAAACGGCUGCUAAUACCGCAUAAGCGCACGAGAGGACAUCCUCUUGUGUGAAAAACUCCGGUGGUACAGGAUGGGCCCGCGUCUGAUUAGCUGGUUGGCAGGGUAACGGCCUACCAAGGCGACGAUCAGUAGCCGGUCUGAGAGGAUGAACGGCCACAUUGGAACUGAGACACGGUCCAAACUCCUACGGGAGGCAGCAGUGGGGAAUAUUGCACAAUGGGGGAAACCCUGAUGCAGCAACGCCGCGUGAGUGAAGAAGUAUUUCGGUAUGUAAAGCUCUAUCAGCAGGGAAGAUAAUGACGGUACCUGACUAAGAAGCUCCGGCUAAAUACGUGCCAGCAGCCGCGGUAAUACGUAUGAAGCAAGCGUUAUCCGGAUUUACUGGGUGUAAAGGGUGCGUAGGUGGCAGUGCAAGUCAGAUGUGAAAGGCCGGGGCUCAACCCCGGAGCUGCAUUUGAAACUGCAUAGCUGGAGUACAGGAGAGGCAGGCGGAAUUCCUAGUGUAGCGGUGAAAUGCGUAGAUAUUAGGAGGAACACCAGUGGCGAAGGCGGCCUGCUGGA